rnacentral:sRNA from 1 species
AAGUAAAGUUGUUUAGCUUGUUUAGAUCUACAUUUUGUAUGAUUUCAGUAAUUUCUGGGUUUGUGUUCUUGAGAAUGUUGCUUGAGUAGUGAUUAGGGUUCUUGAGGAUGGAUUAGAUUAGGGUAGUCUCUAGGUUAGUUAGGUGGUUAGUGUUUAGGUUAGAACCCUUCUGGAUUCGCUUGGC